AAUAUACUCUUUUAUAGCAGGAACACCUAAGAGCAUCCUACAGAACUGCUCUCUAUAGAACAAUCUUUGAGAUCAUCAUAGAUAAUGUUUUCUUUACAAUGUAUAAUAUUAAUUAUUUCUGCUAUGGUCUCAAUUUUUAAGUGCAACUGAUAGUUUAAAACAAUGAAAUAGUGUUACAACACUUCUUCAAAAAGUGUCAGCAGGUCAAGAUUUUGUAAUAAAACAUAAUGGCCUUCAAUUAUACUUCAGGUGGGUAAAAUAGUUAAUGAUCUUAUGCUUUAUUUAUACAACAGUUAGAUUGCAUUGAACUUAAGUAGAUUAAGCACUUGGUGGUGCAUGUCUUUUGAGAGUUAAACUGCAAAGGGUACAAUCGAAACAUAUAAGAUAAUUUAAAAUGACAGCUUCAAGUGCUGAAUUUUUUUAUUUCCCAACUUAUAAGAAAAUGUAAGAAGUAAUUAUAUUAUUUUUUGUACAGGCAAUACAGACUAAUUCACUCAGGAUUUUUUUUCAAGUACUUUUGCUACAGAUUUCCUCCAAGGGUACAAAGUAACAUAAAAUUUAAUUCUUAAAAAUUUUGUUUCACUUUCUCAUUUAAUUACCAAAUUUGCUUAUUAAUUAAUCCUCUAAUUCAGAUCCUUAUUAAAAAAAAAUAGCUAAAAUACAAGAGAAAUGAAAGCCUAAUGGAUAGUCUAUCUGACCACUAGGGGUCGGUGUCAGUGCAUGCCAAGUAUAGCAAGCCAGAACAAAGAUUUCAGUUUGGUUUACUAGGUUGUAGUUCAAUAUUAAAAUAUGAAAAUAAUGUUAUGCAAUCCUACCUUCCCAAUUUUAUGAGACUUGUGUUUUAAUAUGAUUCAUCAAAGUACAGGUAUAUAUAAUUUUCCAUCAUAUAUCUCUGGAAAAGCACAGAUACUAAACACACAGAUACUAAAAUUGGAAUGCCCAGUACAGCAAAAUUUUGUCAAUUUUACAUGCAUUAAUAUUAAAUCCAGCAGUUCCCGUCAUGGCACAGCAGAAACAAAUCAGACUAAGAACCAUGAUGUUGCAGGUUCGAUUUCUGGCCUUGCUCAGUGGAUCAUGGAUCUGGCGUUGCCAUUAGCUGCAGUGUGGGUUGCAGACGCAGCUCGGGUCUGGCUUUGCUGUGUCUCUGGCUUAGGCCAGCAGCAACAGCUCUAAUUAGACCCCUAGCCUGGGACCUUCCAUAUGCCAUGGGUGCGGCCCCAAAAGGACAAAAGACAAAAAAUAUAUAUAUAUAUUAAAUCCAAAAGAGAUUAUGCAGACAAAAAAUAAAAAUAUCCUUCCCUCUAUAUAAACACACCCAUCACACAUAUAACCAAUGCUUUUAACAAUCAAUAGGAGCACAGCUUCAAAACAAAGGAUGGUAAACCUGUGUUUUCUCAGGAUUCUUUAGAAACCCUAUAUACCAACAGUUAUUUUAAAAAGAGGAUGUGAGAAUUUACUUAACAUUCAUGGAAACUGGAAGAAAACAUGCUUUUCCUUAAGGAAUUAUAUUAAUAUCAUGUAUAUGUUAAAAAGCAAAUCUUAAUUCUAAAACAAUAAUGCAUAAAAUAUCUAUGUCAUAUAUACAUAGUCAUAGUAGUAGUAUAGCAAUUAUAAUAACAGAAACAUUCAGAAAGUUAUAUGAGCAUUUUGAAUUAACUAUCUGUUUUGCCUUUGAAAAAAAUGGUUCAAAAAGGGCUUAAUUGACUGGAGAAGAAAACAAAAGAAAUCAAUGAUAAAAUACACAUUACAAUGAACCAAUUAAAAAAAAUCUAAACCAAAGAUUUAUUUUAAGAAACAUGCUUAUUUUGUUAUGUAUUUAAUGAUAUCCAUAUUUUAUUUAAUUUUAGAAAACAUGUUCAUGUAAUAAAAAUGAAUGAAGUCAAGAAUCACAUAUUUGAACAACACCACACACACACACACACACACACACACACACACACACACACACACAUGUAAGCUACAUACUGGGAAAAGUACUCUCUUCCUCAGUGCACUCACUGAUAAUAUAUAUGUCUUAAUACAGAUAAAUAUAAAUUUAAUAAUAACAAAUAAUUCUUUGACUAUCACAUGUACUAGCAAACAUAUUCUUACAAUUUGAUAACCCAGGAAGGAUUCCAAAGAAAAUCUUGCUCAACAAAACUUAUUUCAUAUACUAGGAAAAUGUAAGAAUAUGAGAAAUUCACCCAUCCUCAAAUACAAAAGAAUUAUGUAUGCAUGCAUUAUAAUUAUGACUACCAGAUUUAGCAAAUAAAAGCCUGAAAUAAUGCUGCAGAUACAGUUAUACUAAAAAUAUUUGCUGUUUAUCUAAAAUUUAAAUUCAACUGGGCAUCCUAUAUUUUAUCUGGCAACCCUAACUAUGGUUUAAUGUAUAGCAAAUUAUAAUCAUGAAUAGUUUUCUUUUGUUUUGCACUUUGUCUAAUAAUCAAUGAAAAGGAUUUGUCAAGAAGUUAGAAAAUACUAAAAAAUAAAAUUAGGUAGUAUUGGCAAGAGGGAAAUACAUAUUUUUUUAUUAUGGGCAACAAUAAUAUUUUUAAAUGAUGGUUUAUAUAUAUUGGUAAGUUGUAAUAUAUUUCAAUCUUUUAGUAUCUAUGAAACUCUAAGCCUGUUGCUAAAGUCAUGCAACUCAAGGAUUUGUUUGUUUGUUUGUUUGUUUUAAAUCUUGGAUUUGAUUUUAGAAAUCAACUAGGUUUGAUGCAUCAAACUGGGAUAACCUGAUAGAAAUUUCCUUCCUGUCUGAACACUUCAAGUGACAGGGACCCUCCAAACUAUGGAUAAAAUCAGUUUUUUUCCAACAACAUUUGCAUUUUAAAUGUAUUUGCUUAACUAAAUCUUUCAGAAUUCCCUCUUUUAUUUAAGUUUACCUGUUUGGUGAUAAUCUAGUUAUAUUCAACAAGUAUAGUUUUAAAACUUAUUUGUUUUUAAUUUCUUGCCUUUUUCUGUCUAGUACUUUAAAAACAUAUAAAUUAUAAAAUAUUAGCAAAUUUUCUAUAUCUGUUUAAUUUAUACAUGAAAAUACAAUGAAUAUUUCAACAAUAUGGCUCAUAUACCCAAAGACAAUGUUGAAAUGUGAUAUUUUAAGUAUUCUCUCACAAGAUAACACACAUCUCAUUAAUAUUUCCCUAAAAACUGAGCUGUUAGGUACUCUAAUAAGGGGUGGGUAAACUAUACAUUAUCAUUAUAUUGCUUAGAAAAAUUAGGUCAACUAGUGUUAUGUAAAAUUUUAUUACAUGCCUGAUACCAGCGAAACGAUAAAAUUAGCAAAUUAGUCUACAUGAAUAGUCUAGAAAUAAGGUGCACAUAUACUAAAGAUAAACAUGCAUUUUAAUUAUAAAAUAAUAGCAUAAAUUAUUUUGUUUUUGUUAUAUACUGUCAAUAUAUGGUUUUACAUGCAAUUUAAUUCAAAUAAUAACACUAUGAAGUGAAUGUUUUUAAAAUAACUAUGCCUGAUAAGAAAUUAAAGAUUAAGAAGUAAGUAACCUGCCCAAAGUUACACAACUAGGAUGCAGAGGAGCUGAGAAGUAAAAGUGGGUCCUUAGACUCUGGACAAGGUGCACAGCACUGAACCAUUAAACUGUAAAUCCAAGAUCAUGCUGAAGUUAAGCCAUGCCACAGCCUCUGAGUUGUUAGUCCCCUCCAUCAGGGAUCUGGUAGUAAGAAAAGAUAAUAUUCUAUAAAUUAAAGGAUAAAUAACAGAACCAUCUCUUACAGAAAUGUUACCUCUCUGUAACACAAAACUCAGCACAUUUAAGAUACCACUUUUCUGAAGAGAUGAGAUGUUUCAAACAGCAAUAAAGUGUAGUAGAAUGUGGAAGAGUCAAAUCUGAAAUUUUCCUACUAAACGUUAUCUUGAAUAGAAAUAGUGCUUGUUGAACUUGUAGAGAACUUGGAAUAGGAACAUUCUGUACUUUAAAAACUGACGUUCGAUAUUCACAAAGAAGUGGAGCUCUUGGUCAUAAGCGUACUUGCAACAUCCUAGAUAUGAUUUGAGUAAUAGACAUCACUCUCAGAAGCAGAACAAGAUGAUUAAAGAAGAAAAGGAAGUUCUGAGAAAAGAGAGAGACAUUGCUUGGUCAUUAAUGACAAGGAGUUUUAUAGAGAGGAAGAAUUGGAAGGGAAAAAAUAUUACAUGAUGUUUAUAAAUGGGUUAUGCUGAUACCACAUCUGUAUGUUACUUUCAUAAACACAUAGAUUCACUGUGUACUAAGUGGCUUACUUAACUAAUUUAAUUCUCAUGAAAAAAAUUGAGGAAGAAGUAACAUAAUCCUCAUUUCCUGAUGAGGAAAUUGAGAUAUACAGAGUUUACCUAAUUUGCUGAAUACCAUAUGCUAUUAAGUGGCAGAACCAAGCUUCACCUUCAAGAAUUCUUAAAUGAUUUUAUGCUGCCUUCCUCUAUGCAGAAAGCUUGCCAUAAAUGGCCAUUCAUUGUUAAGUAAAUCUAUUUAUGCCUUUCUCAUACUCCAAAUUCAUGAUUGUCCAAAACACACACAAGUGGAAAAUGUUUGUUAUGGACUUGUAAGUAUUUGGGGAAACAGUGUAGAUUGGAGAAAUCAGACGUCUAUCAUAAGCAGUUGCUACUAACAUACAAUUACAAAAAACAAACCUGAACUAACAGGUAUUGUAACAGGAAAAAAAAUGUAGUUGGAAUUGUACAAUAUGCCUCAUCACUUGGUGAAUUUUUACUACAAUGUAUUAAUCAUCUGAUAAAAUAUAUUUCGAUCACAACAGACUUUUGAAUUACAUAGUUUGCUACAAUCUAUAAAAAUUAGAAUACUUCCUACUUGUAUCACCUGGUUAUAUUAAUUCAGCUUAACAGAAUCAUGCUUAAAAUACCCAUAUUUGUCUGCCUAUUGCAAAAAUUUCUGUCCAUGAGAAAAGUUGCUUUUCUAACUGAUAAAAUGGGAAUCAAGAGAACAGGGAAAAAAAACUUGACUGCUAAAAGAAACAGAUUAUUAUUAUCUUUCUCAUUAUCAACUUUCUUCAGUUAUUUCUAGCAGUAGAUAUACACAUAGCCCUUCAGAAGCAAAUCCUAAAGGAAAUGUAAAGCAAAUAACAAAGAUAAUUGAUCAUUUUCCUCAAAUAUUUUGCAAUGAUUUGCCAGGUAAAAUUCACAUUCUUCAACUUAUAACCCCUUGAGCAAUGUUUGCUGUCCUUAAUGACUUGCAACAGGCAAAGAACACAGAUUUAAUACAAUUUCCUAAAAAUUAGUUUAUAUUGUAUCCCUGGUGAGUAGUUAAGAGCAUUUACACAGAAAAUACAAUGAUAAGUAGACUGUACUUCAUAAGAGCUCUUAUUUUAUUAGAAUCUAUUUUUUUAUUCAACGGAGUGGGAGGGAUUGGGAAUUUGGGGUUAGUAGAUGCAAACUAUUGCCUUUGGAAUGGAUAGGCAAUGAGAUCUUGCUAUAUAGCACUGGUAACUCUGGCUAGUCACUUAUGGUAGAGAAUGAUAAUGUGAGAAAAAAGAGUGUAUACAUGUAUGUGUUAUUGGGUCACCUUGCUGUACAACGGAAAAGUGACAGGACACAGUAAACCAGUUGUAAUGGAAAAAAUAAGAAUCAUUAUAAAUUAAAAAAAAUCAACAUAUAUUUUCAAAUGAAACAUUUUUCAUUUAAUACAAUAUGUUUAAUGACAAACAAAAGGAUUUAGGUCACAUCUUAGUUGUGGGUUUUAGAGUCCAGAACAACAUUUCUACAUUUUUCAAAAAAGUUAAUAUAGUGAAAUGGAAGUUUCUUUUAGAUAUUAAAUACAUUCUUUAUUCAAAGACAUGAUUUCUAUCUGGUGAUUUUUAUUCACUUAUUAGCAUAUUCUUGGAUUCACAAUUUGAAAGGAUUUUCUUUUUUGUAAAAGCAGUAGGAAAUCAAGAUC
rnacentral:lncRNA from 1 species